UGAUGCGAUGAUACCAGCACUAAAGCACCGGAUCCCAUCAGAACUCCGAAGUUAAGCGUGCUUGGGCGAGAGUAGUACUAGGAUGGGUGACCUCCUAGGAAGUCCUCGUGUUGCAUUCC
rnacentral:rRNA from 1 species